UACGGAGGGGGCGAGCGUUGUCCGAAUUUAUUGGGCGUAAAGCGCGUGUAGGCGGAUUUUCAAGCCUGAGGUGAAAGGUUGGGGCUCAACCCCAUACAGUGCCUUGGGGACUGAAAGUCUGGAGGCCGGCAGAGGAGAGUGGAAUUCCUGGUGUAGCGGUGGAAUGCGUAGAGAUCAGGAAGAACACCCAUGGCGAAGGCAGCUCUCUGGGCCGGUACUGACGCUGAGACGCGAAAGCGUGGGGAGCAAACAGG
rnacentral:rRNA from 1 species